GUUAGUCACCCAGUUUCCAGCACUAUCCCAGCAGUCCUUGCUCUCUAAAAGAAGUUUAACCAUGUGCAGGCUGACUAUCUCCUGUCACAGGUUACAGUCACACAUCAGGUCCACUUACUCAUCUAUAGUAAAUGUCUUAUUGAGUAAGUCAACACAUGUCAAUGUAGAGGAAAGUCACUACAUAAAUCAGCAUGUUAAGUGUUAGAAUAAUUCAUGGGCUGUAUUUUGGAUGUGGUAUUUAUUUGACAACUCUGUGAACAGAUGACUUAAUCAAAACAGCCAGAGGAAAUCACCUCUGGGAGAAUUCAGCUACAGGAGGAAAAGUGGUGUGGUAACAACAGAAGAAUAAAAGGAUACAAAGGGUGAUGGACCAUAACCAUCAUGAGUUCGAGGCCACAGCAUGACUUAGGACAGGUCAACAGUUAAUGGCCUCAAAUGUGGAACACACAGGAAAUAACCUUGGCAACAUUUGACACCCAGUAGCACCGGCAUAGCUGCUGCCUGGGCAGAACUGGACCCAAAUCGAGGCAGAGGAUAAAGGAAGAGGCAAAGACAUAAUCCCGCCGAGGAGAGAGAUGGACAAGCACCAGUUGCUGGUGAAACAACAACAAAGGCACUCAUUUUGGUUGAGGGAAAUAAACACCUUCAGACUACCAGAAA